UGCUGUCAUCGUUGGAACACAGAGCGCAACUCAGCUAGCUCGCUCCCAUAGCGCGCCACCGAUAAAUUGUCACUAACUAGAAAAACCCUAGAUAAAUCUGAGAUCAAGCUUAAACCUGCAGUGCAGUUGAUUCAGAGUUUCGUAAUCUUCCGAAAUUUCGAUUUAUCACGGUUCCUUCUACAAUUCGAAGACUUUUACGACUGCGGUUUUUGCACCAAUGGGCGUGAAGGUGCUGCAGUGCUUCCCAUUCUACAGGCGCUGUAAAGAGCGAUGCAAGGCACGCGAGUGCCCUCCUGAGUCAGUGUCCACCGAGGACCUUAAGCCUCGUCUGUCAUCCACGACGUCUUGGAGCAGUGACGGGGAAGCUGGAGGUAGCUUGAGUAGUCCCCAGGCUUACUUCUCCCAGAAAGCACGACUCUCAUUCAGACAUCAGAUGGACAGCAACCUCAAUGCCGUGGAUGCCACGUACUGAGUCCGCCGUCACUCGUUAACCGCCUCUGAAAACGAACUUUCCCGUUAAACGCUCCAGGGUUGAGAACCGUGGGGAGGAAUUUUGUCGCUGCGCUGGGAGUGACAGAUGUCAUCAUCAUUCAAGCAAGAUGGAUGAGGCUGAUUUCGCAUUCUUCAUAGCAACUCCUCCGCAGAGACUUUUACAAAAUGGUCAAUAGCGAUGUAAUGCUUAAUUUCAUAGUUACUAACGUUCGGAUACCUUGAAUGUAUGUGCGAACUGGUGAGGUGAGGAUGUUUCGGGAUGUGUGAAUAGCCGACGUUUAGCGAGCAGUGUUUACAUUUUUACCAACAAGUGCAUUUUUUUUUGCUCAUAUUUUCAGACAGGCUUUGCCUUUAAUGUCUUCCCGUUUCUCAGAUGCAUAACUAAUCUUUACCAGGUUUGACCGAACUUGGGGUUAAGGUGUGGAUUUGAGACAUAAGCUUUAAACUUCCACACACCUAUAGUCUUUAGGUCUUUACUUUCGAACAGAAUGCACAUUUAUUUUACUCGUCAUUUUUCCAAAUAUCGAGUUUGAAUCACAGUACCAUAUUUUUUUGUUGCUGUUGUUUCAUUUUGACAAAAUUUUAAGCAUAUUUGCAAAACAUGUAUAAAUGUCAGUUUGAUUUUUCAUUUUGUAAAGUGCCCUUCCCUUUUGGCCAAAUGUCAGCUCCUCAUUUUCAAAUCAACUUGGAGCCUUGGUUGAAUUUUUAAGACAGUUUUAGGCGUAUAAACCAAAGGAAGCACAUUACAGUUGUUGACGUUUCAUAUAAAGACAGUGUAGCAAAGACAGACAGAGCAGAAUCAGAUUUGGGGGGAUGUCCAUCUAAUUAGGAUGGGACGUCUGUAUACAGAAUUAGGCUUUGCAACGUAGCAUAAUGAGGUUACAGCAUGUCUGAGGGCCUUUCCGGUCGUGAUUUUGUGUGUUCUCUCCUGUCAUUUUAAAACACUUCAAAUUUCUUCUCUGAAGUUAGAUGUGGCCACUUUCGAUCCAGUAUGCUCCUCUGAACUCCAGAAAACUUAGUACAGUCCAGAUAUCCCUUCUAAAAUCUUCUUACACAGAUGUACAAAAAAAAAAAAAA